rnacentral:rRNA from 1 species
UACGUAGGGUGCGAGCGUUAAUCGGAAUAACUGGGCGUAAAGGGUGCGUAGGCGGGUAUAUAAGUUAGAUGUGAAAAGUCUGGGCUCAACCUAGGUCGAGCAUUUAAGACUGUAUAUCUAGAGUUAGUAAGAGGGGGGUAGAAUUCCAAGUGUAGCAGUGAAGUGCGUAGAGAUUUGGAGGAAUACCGAUGGCGAAGGCAGCCCCCUGGUAUAGAACGUGACGCUGAGGCACGAAAGCGUGGGUAGCAAACAGG